rnacentral:rRNA from 1 species
AGGAAUUGAUUACUUCGGUUUGAUUUUCCUGACGAUGAGCGGCGAACGGGUGCGUAACACGUGAGAAACCUGCCUUGAAGUUCGGGAUAGCUCGGCGAAAGUCGAAUUAAUACCGGAUGUGGCCUAGGGAUAGCAUUUUCCCUUGGUUAAAGCUCGGUCACAGAGCGCUUUUAGAUGGUCUCGCGGUCUAUCAGCUUGUUGGUGAGGUAACGGCUCACCAAGGCUACGACGGAUAACUGAUCUGAGAGGAUGAUCAGUCACACUGGAACUGAGACACGGUCCAGACACCUACGGGUGGCAGCAGUCGAGAAUCAUUCACAAUGGGCGCAAGCCUGAUGGUGCGACGCCGCGUGGGGGAUGAAGGGCUUCGGUCUGUAAACCCCUGUCAUCUGUGAGUAAGGUCUCGUAUAAAAGCUACGAGGAUUGAUAUUAGCAGAAGAGGAAGGGACGGCUAACUCUGUGCCAGCAGCCGCGGUAAUACAGAGGUCCCAAGCGUUGUUCGGAUUUACUGGGCGUAAAGGGUGCGUAGGCGGUUAGAAAAGUUUGGUGUGAAAUCUUCGGGCUCAACCCGGAAACUGCACUGAAAACUAUUUAACUAGAGGAUCGGAGAGGAGAUUGGAAUUCUCAGUGUAGCAGUGAAAUGCGUAGAUAUUGAGAGGAACACCAGUUGCGAAGGCGGAUCUCUGGACGAUUCCUGACGCUGAGGCACGAAAGCUGGGGGAGCGAAGAGGAUUAGAUACCCUCGUAGUCCCAGCCGUAAACGGUGCGCACUUGCUGUGGGCGGAUUCGACCCCGUCCGUGGCGAAGCUAACGCGUUAAGUGCGCCGCCUGGGGAGUACGGUCGCAAGAUUAAAACUCAAAGAAAUUGACGGGGGCCUGCACAAGCGGUGGAGUAUGUGGCUUAAUUCGAU